CAGCAGCCGCGGGAAUACGAAGGGGGCUAGCGUUGCUCGGAAUGACUGGGCGUAAAGGGCGCGUAGGCGGAUUGUUUAGUUAGGCGUGAAAUUCCUGGGCUUAACCUGGGGACUGCGCUUAAUACAGGCAGUCUAGAGUGAGGAAGAGGGUUGUGGAAUUCCCAGUGUAGAGGUGAAAUUCGUAGAUAUUGGGAAGAACACCGGUGGCGAAGGCGGCAACCUGGUCCUUGACUGACGCUGAGGCGCGAAAGCGUGGGGAGCAAACAGGAUUAGAUACCCCCGUAGUCCCUGUCUCUUAUAA
rnacentral:rRNA from 1 species